rnacentral:rRNA from 1 species
AACGCGAAGAACCUUACCCACCUUUGACAUGUACGGAAUCCUUUAGAGAUAGAGGAGUGCUCGAAAGAGAGCCGUAACACAGGUGCUGCAUGGCUGUCGUCAGCUCGUGUCGUGAGAUGUUGGGUUAAGUCCCGCAACGAGCGCAACCCUUGCCAUUAGUUGCUACGAAAGGGCACUCUAAUGGGACUGCCGGUGACAAACCGGAGGAAGGUGGGGAUGACGUCAAGUCCUCAUGGCCCUUAUAGGUGGGCUACACACGUCAUACAAUGGCUGGUACAGAGGGUUGCCAACCCGCGAGGGGGAGCUAAUCCCAUAAAGCCAGUCGUAGUCCGGAUCGCAGUCUGCAACUCGACUGCGUGAAGUCGGAAUCGCUAGUAAUCGUGGAUCAGAAUGUCACGGUGAAUACGUUCCCGGGUCUUGUACACACCG